CGUGCUCCCUUGGCCGCAUGCUUUUAUGGUGAGGAAUAAACAGAGCCUUCCCUCCUCGAGCUCCCGGCAGUGCCCUCUCUGGGAAACGGCUUUCCAUGUCCGUGCCGCUCCGCCUCGCUGAGCCCGAGCCGGGAGGAUCUGUAGCAUCCAACAUCGUUGGCCCAAAACGCGGCGUGUCCAAUUAUUCGCCUGGAUGAUGGGGAGAAGCCCCGGGAGAAGCCCAACGACAACAGCAAAGUACACCUCCAGGAAGCCCCUGGGUGCUGCUGUGCCGUGGGUCUCACCACACCUCAGAGCUUCUUAUCCCUCCUGCUGCUCUGUCCAAGGCCACAGGGUGGGUGUCGGGUGGUACUGAGAGCCUCCAUGUCCUGCUUUGGGGAGUUGGUAUCCACAGCCUUCAAGAACAGGCUGGCUACCAGAUGGGUGAACCAAAUAAGCCUCCAACAUUUAUCUGAGAGUUCGACGUUUUCCUGUGUUGUUAACCGCAGAGGAAACUAGGUGGUUUGCAGCCACGCUGAGCCGCUGCCAGCCCCCAGCCUUCGAAUAUUUUCACAGGGAGGGGGAGGAGGGAGGGGGCUUUUUCCUCCAAGCCAGAUGGCCGUAUGGAAUCAAUAAAAGUCCGUUUCAAAAGUUUGUUUACUUAACAUUGAAUAUAAUAUGCCUUUGUGGUCCCUUUGCACUGCACAAAAAUGUGAUCCAGCACCGAGCUAAUGAGGAGAGCGCUGCGGAGGACAUCGCUGCACCGGUCGUUGCCUUUUGCACCCACCUCGUGGGCUCUGUGGGGGCUUUUAGGGCUUGUAGGGCUGUGGGGCAGCAGGGACUCUUUCUUUCUUGCUGGAGCUCUGGAUGGUGGUACUUGGGCUGUGAGGAUGUCAGCUGGAUGUUGGGUGUUGGAAAUCAGAUGUUGGAUGUUGGUAGUCAGAUGUCGGAAGUCAGAUGUUGGAUAUUGGAUCCUGGGUGUUGAAAGUUGGAUGUUGGAAGUUGGGUGUUGGAAUUCGGGUGUUGGGUAUUGGUAGUUGGAUGUUGGAAGUCAGGUGUCGGAUAUUGGAAGCUGGGUGUUGGAAGUCAGAUGUUGGAUAUUGGAUAUUGGAAGUUGGGUGUUGGAAAUUGAGUGUUGGAAGUUGAAUGUCAGAAGUUGGAUGUUAGAUGCUGGGUGUUGGAACUUGGAUGUUGAUUGGGUGCAGCCCCUAAAACCUGUGCAGGAGGAAGGCUCAGCAUGUGUGAAAUAUCUGAAACCUUGUAAGGUAUUCAUCUUGUGCUGUAAUUAUUUUUAAACAUCCCAAAUUAUAUGAGUAGUACAGGGAAAACAAUGUCGGCUUGUCUUUAAAACACAGCCUUUCAUUACGGAAAUCUGUCAUCUGUUAAUUCAUUAGAGCCCCGACAGAAAAAGCUGAGAUCAAAACUAUUUUAAAUGAUUCCUGAUGACACACAAUGGCAAAUUUCAGCCAUUAUUCCGGAAAUGUAACCAUCAUUCUUUCUGCUGGAUUCAACAAGGGUCCUUCCUCUGAUAUUAAUUGACUUCUAAGUAGUUGCACAUGUUGUUGUUGUGUUAUUGCUCAGAUCUCUUUCUGAAGUGCGUGGCGAUGUGAGCAAGAAGCCUUGGGCUCCUCAGAUCUCUCUGUCAGACCCACACAGCACUGAGCUCUUAGCACUGGGAACCAGGGGCUCACCAAGCUCUGGGCUCUGCUGCCUUCACCUGCUUUAGUGAGCGGGGGGCAGUUCGCCUCCAUGAGAAAAAGAAUAAAAAACACCACACAUCUGUUUUGUUUUUCUGUUGGUUUUUUUCUUUCUUUCUUUCCUUUUUUUUUUUUUUUUUUUUCCCUGAAGAUCCAAGGCAGAAUUUCAAAGCAAAUUCCAAAUCUUAUUUUGUUGCCUUUGUUUCCACGACAUCUCUGCGGGCGCAGCUGUCUGCACUGCUCAUGGAGCCAUCCAAGAGCCCGCAUGGCAAACGCAGACCCAAGGUGCUGGGACAGACUCUGUGCUGUUAAUGAAUUUAUUUGUUAGAUGGCAUUAUUGCCACUCAAAGCAAGCUGCAGAAUCCGUGGAGUAUUUGCCAUUUGCAUUGUUUUCCCUUUGCAUUUCAAGCUUGGCUGGGGCAGCGCAGGUGCUGGUGGCCUCGUGAUGCUGGAAAGCCAUGUUCAUCCUCCUUGGUCUUUGUGGCUCAGCUGGUGCUGUGUGGGUAAUGCCUCACAUCUGCUGUGUGCACAGCACAACAUGGUCCUGGGAACCUGAAAGACGUGGAAGAAAACCAAGUCCUGUCCUUCAUGCAGCUUCUGCCACAAGACAGCAAACAGCACACGGUGCUGCGGUGACGGAGCUGCUGAGCGAUGCCUGCUGCACCCUCCUGCUUUUCUCCUACCUCCAAGCUGGGGAGAUCCCCACCGCUCUGCUGUGCGUUUCACCUCCUCUUCGCCCAUUAAGAGGCCCUCUGUGCUCAGCAGGAUGUUGGGAUGGGGCUCUUGCUGCUCUGUGCGUGGCAGCAGCUGAAGGCACGCGUUUUCUGCCUGCAUUUUUUGCUGACAGCCGGCAUCAAAGCUAUUCCUUUUAAAUGUCUGAUGCUGUAUCUCGUUGCAGGAGGCUGUGUUGGGUUACUCCUUGCCACAUACCACUGCGAGAGGGUGUGUUAUUUAAAGAACCAGUGCUUAGCAAACCUCACUCCCUCACCCCGUUGGAUAACUGUGCUAUAAGCACGAGUGGCCUUGCUUUUCUUUCCAAUGGCUGCGUUUUUAAAGGCACCCAGAUUAGAAACCAAUUUGCAGCUCUGCUCCAUUAAUCUUCUUCCUGGCAUCAGUUUUCUGAAGCCUCGGUAUGUAAUGCGUUCAGCAGCACUGCGCGUUUGCUUUUUAUUUCUCCUUCUCCCCUAGGUCUCGUUGGCUUUGUAACAAGGCACAGAACGACCUGAUGAUGGGAAGGAUGUACAGAUGCUUCUCAGUUGGGCACUGUGUGGCUCUGAGCGCUCACCUCGAGCUGCUGGCUCUGCCCCCAGGUGCUCCCCCGUUGGCAGGAGGGAUGCUGCUGCUCCUGUCACAGCUGUCCCCUUAUGGCUGCAGAACCCUUGCUCGGGGCUCCUGAUACCCAGGGCUGGUCCAGGUGCUCCUGGAGCCCAGCCAGCUGUGAUAAAUCUCCUUAAUUGCAGCUCAUUGUAAUUAUGCUUUAUAUGGAGCUGAUGCUAUUACUGCUGGGAGCUUUGGCCUGAUGAAUCCUAAGCAGGAGAUCUCUAGCCCUCCUUGGGGGCUGGGGACAUUGAGCUCCAGGGUUUGCUGGGGCUGGUGGAGCUGGCUUUCAGCCCUGUGCUGCAAUGGGCAGAGUGCAGGAGCAAAGGUAGUGGGGAGAUGGCCAUCCGUACCUCACUUCAUUUUGGUACUGUCCACCCAAGAACCUGUCUGGUGCGUGUGCAGAAGAACCUUCAGCAUUAAUGACCCUCUGACAGGUAAGCGAUCAGAGAAUCAUUACGGUUGGAAAUGGCAUCUGAGAUCCCCACCCCACCAUGCCCACUGACCACGUCCCUCGGUGCCACAUCUCUAUGUUCCCUGAGCAUCCCCAGGGAUGGAGACCUCCACCGCUCCCUGGGCACCCUGUGCUGGUGCAUUACAGCUCUUCAGAGAAGAAAUGUUUCCAGAUGUCCAGCCUGAUCCUCUCCUGGUGCAAUGUGGGACCAUCACCUCUCAUCCAAUCAACACCACUGCCAUCUCCAGCCCUUCUCUAAGCGCUCCAUGCAUCCACAGCAGGUAUUGAGGUCACGUUUUGGGCACGCAGCCCCAUUUGCUGAGGGGUGAGGUGAGUGUCGUGAGUCAGAAUGAGCUUUCCCAUAGGAAAUGCCCCACGGUCUCUUCCCACCCAGCAGCGGGCGCUCCCGACCCGGGGUGCUCCAUGGAUCAUGGCACGGCUCCAUCUGGCUGAUCCCAAGGAAUGCCCGGGCGCAGCCGCAGCUCCGGGGGAUUAAACUGAAGUCUAACGUUACACCCCUUGGAAGAGCAGAGCUUUACUUGGAAACCGAAUCGCAUUAAUUAGCAUUCUGCUAAUGGCUGUUUUGUAUAAAUAUAGUGUGCCUUAAUACCAACACGAGUCGCAGGUUGACAUAUUUAGAUCGCUGAUAUCAAAGUCAUUAACGCCUCUCCGUGGUAAACCUAUUCUCAGUUCGGGCUGCAAAUGGGAUUCUCCUGAGCCAAUCAAUCUUCCUAAAGCCUGAGCAGAGCCUGUUGAUCUUUAGCCACUGAAUGGAUGCAGCUUCCCAGAAAUGUGCUUGCAUCUGUCAGAAUUAUAAGCAGCUGGCAGCCCCAGACAGGGGUCAUAUUUGCCGUGAGUGUGAAAAUAGGAUCCCAGGACAAGAAAUGCUACUUAGCAGCGUAUCGAUUCUGGGCGUGCUAUUAAUGUUGCAGCACAAUGCGUGUGUGUGUCCGUGCAGGCACUCCUGCACAUGCCAAUUAUGUAUUUAUAUGCAAGGUCUCCUCUCACACAGACCCCGUGGUCCUGGAGCUGAUCCAGGGCUUAUUAAAACUUGGUGACAUCAAAGGAUGGGAAAGGUCUGCCCGAGCUGAGGAACUCGGAGAGCUUAACAAUUAUUUUGCCUUAAUUCCCUCCUAAUUUAUCGUCUUUUUAUUGCCCUGAUUAAAAGCUCCCCUGUUUGAUAGCGGCACCGAAGGUAAUGGCGUUCUUCCGAGACUGAUGGGUGGCAAUUCCAGCAGGGGCUGCUGCCAUCUGUGGGGCACUGCUGUGGGUUUCUGUCACAGCGUUGCCACCACAGCCACACUGCCAGCGCGGUGCCAUCCCUGUGCUGCUCUGUGUGCCAGGCUGUGCGCUCAGCAUCGUGGCUCCUCAUGGUGCAGCCCCACAGCUCGACCCGGUGCUCAUCGCAGUGCUGUUCCGUGCUGGUUAUUAUUAGAUGGCACUGACAUGGAUCAAAGCACGUAAGCCCAACUUCUGAAGCACGCAACCACCAACCUCGUCCAGGAGAUCUUGCUCAUUGCUGCAGCUUAGGGCCAAGCAUUUUAGCUUGAGCGUUUUCAGCCUUGGAUUACAAAUUGCAACACUUCUGAAGUCUGUGGGACUCAGCGCCUUCAGUUCCCAUGCUGGGGAUGGUGAAGGGAUACUCCUGCAUCUGUUCCAUGAGAUUGCCAAGCAGCACAAUGGGAAACAUGCUGGGCAACAAAUGGGAAUGGGCCGGCAGCAGUGAGAGCUGACUUUGUCAGUGAAGUUUUUUGGUGUUAUUUUUCUAAUUUUUUUCUUUUUCUUUGGUUGGGAGGACAUAAUAACACCUGUGCUUGGCUGAUGGAUGUUAAAUAACGCUCCUCUCCUGGAUCGAGGCAGAUGGCAUGUAACACUGAGGUCUGUGUGCUGCACUGAUUACCCUGACCCCCUGUUUGGGUUGUCUGGGGCUGAGCUGCUCUCCCUGGAGCUCUGGAGCGGCUGCAGUUCACCAUCGGAAGUUUCUAGAAUUGGACCCAUCAGUAAAGGUAUUGCACAAAAAUGAGCGUGAGGCAAGAGAGCGGUCAGGGUGUGGGAAAUACACUUGGUAUGAAUGACUGUGAGUAUGGACUGAUGCUCCCAGGUGUCAUCACAUGCUCACUGCUGCCUGUCCUCACCCAUCUGCACCGUGUGCGUCUUCAGCUGCAACUGGGCUGCUUGCUUAUCAUACCCAGGUGCCUGCCAAAUGGGAAAGCUGUCUUCAAAAAGAUAUAAGCGGGGAUGAUUCUUAUGCCAUUAUUGCUCAGGGUCUGCUGAAUGCUUGCAGGGCAAAGCAGUGCAUCCUUGAGAAUGUCUGAAAUGCUGUGUUAUAGGCGCACCAGUUGCAAAAUAGAUUUAAAUUACGUCGAGCAACAUGCUGCGGAAUUUAUGCUUCCAAUUUCUCCAUUUAGUGGUGAAUCAGGCUUGUUUGCAUUGCCAGCUAAUCUUUCUGCCAGAGUUGUUAAUGUGCUCUGACCCCUCUUUAACUCUGCAUGCUGAGCUUGCCAUUCAGCUUUUCUCUUUUAGCAGUGAAUCAGCCACAUGUGCCGGAGCCCCACUGCACAGCCCCUGUGGGCUGGAGGUGGCCUUGAGUGGCUUUUCCUGGUGAGACUCUGAGAUUUCAUUUGCUUGCAAGAAACCUGAGUUCUCUAGACGUUGCACCUUGCUUUCUCUGGAAGGCUUCCAGCAUUCAUUCUUGACAGGGAGCCAGCUCAGGCUGCCGUCCUGCUGCUGGAGGGCACUCCCAGCCCGGUGCUGUUGGGAAGCCCUGCUGCUCCCACACCAGCACGGUGCUUUUUGCACUGAGCGUGGCCCAAGUUGCAACCACAGCCCGUGACUCAUUUGCUCAGUGCUUGCCAAGGCUGCUGAGUGGCUCCUGCUGCUCCCAGGGUGCCUCCCGUGCCCUGUAGGCUGCUGCUGCAUCUCCCUUCAUGUUCUGCUGGCACCACAGAUGUCUGUGUACUGCACCUCCUUAAAAUGAUAGAAUCAUUCUGGUUGGAGAAGACCUCUGGGAUCCCCAGCCCAUCCCACCAAGCCCACUGACCAUACAUCCCUCAGUGCCCCACCUCCAUGCUCCCUGGGCACCCCCAGGAAUGGUGACCCCACCACUCCCUGGGCAGCCUGUCCUGGUGUGUUUCAGCUCUUUUGGAAAAUAAAUGUCCCCUAAUAUCCAACCUGAGCUCCCCUGGCACCACUUAAGGCCAUUCCCUAGACAUAAAACCCGAGAACCUUUAGGACCUCUAAGAUCAUCAGGUCCAACCAACCAACCCACCACCAUGACCACUCAUCCAAGUAUUUCUUUAGGGAGGAUGUAGGAUACUGUAGAAGUGCUGUUCCCAGUGCCCAGCGUCCACUCAGGGCUCCCAUGUGUCUGAAGCAUAGCCAACCCGCCUCUAAUGCCCCCUCCUCAGCUGGCGCUAUGGUGCAGUCCCACGUAGAGUAUGCCAACGGGGAAUCCCUCCACGGUGCACUGAGGGCACACUGCCCCCGAUGCACCCGCACGCACGCAGCCUGCAAAAUCGAAUAACAACCAGUUUAAAAACAUACUAAAACCAGAAAAUUUAUGUAGCAUGACCCAAAUUGAAUUAUACAUUACAGCACUGUAAUUGAUUUUUUAGAAGAGAGAUUAAAUUUAUUUUAUGCCUCACUAACUAACAGCUAGAUUUACCUAAUUGCUUAGAGUGCAGAGUUAGUAUGAUUCAUUAAACCCCAUACAUGCCUGGGUACAUUACACUGUGACUAAAGCUUCCCUGCUUCGAGCAAUUAAAGUGGAGAAACUUGGGGCCUCAUAAGUAAUUGAAUAUAACAAUACGGCUUGGAGUUGCUGUGGAUGUCUUAUUAAGUUCUUCAAGCAAAAAGACACACGUUCCCUCUGUUCUCCAGUGAAUCAUUUUGUGAGAUUCUCUAUGACUGGUGUUGUUUUCUCCUAUUGCCAAAAAAUAAAAUAAAAUAAAA
ensembl:lncRNA